rnacentral:rRNA from 1 species
CUACGGGUGGCUGCAGUGAGGAAUAUUGCACAAUGGGGGGAACCCUGAUGCAGCAACUCCGCGUGGAGGAUGACGCAUUUCGGUGUGUAAACUCCUUUUAUAUGUCAAGAAAAUGACGGUAGCAUAUGAAUAAGCACCGGCUAACUCCGUGCCAGCAGCCGCGGGUAAUACGGAGGGUGCAAGCGUUACUCGGAAUCACUGGGCGUAAAGGACGCGUAGGCGGGUUGGAAAGUCAGGUGUGAAAUCCUACAGCUUAACUGUAGAACUGCACUUGAAACUUCUAAUCUAGAGUAUGGGAGGGGGAGAUGGAAUUAGUGGUGUAGGGGUAAAAUCCGUAGAUAUCACUAGGAAUACCUAAAGCGAAGGCGAUCUCCUGGAAAAUUACUGACGCUAAGGCGUGAAAGCGUGGGUAGAAAACAGGAUUAGAUACCCGUGUAGUC